rnacentral:tRNA from 2 species
GGGGAUGUAGCUCAGUGGCAGAGCGUUAACUUAGCAUGUGUGAGGCCCUGGGUUCCAUCCCCAGCACCACCA